rnacentral:rRNA from 1 species
UACAGAGGGUGCAAGCGUUAAUCGGAAUUACUGGGCGUAAAGCGUGCGUAGUCGGUUAUCUAAGUCGGGUGUGAAAUCCCCCGGGCUCAACCUGGGAAUUGCAUUCGAUACUGGAUAGCUAGAGUUCGGCAGAGGGAAGCGGAAUUUCCGGUGUAGCGGUGAAAUGCGUAGAUAUCGGAAGGAACAUCAGUGGCGAAAGCGGCUUCCUGGACCAGAACUGACGAUCAGGCACGAAAGCGUGGGGAGCAAACAGG